AGUUAUUGGUGUUAUCGCGUAGUGCAGUGGACGAGUGCAAUUGUGCGGUGUUCGAUCUUCCUGUGGAUAAUGGACCUUCGUGGGCAAGACCGAUAAAAUAAGGCUAAAGGAUUCCAGAAGGGCAGCCUUAUAAAGGUAGGAAUUUUCUAUUAUGCAUGGUUUGUUGUUGCAUGUGUUAUUAUGUGUAUUUAGCAAGGGGGGAGUGAUUAGUGCAUACAGUGACUAAAACGAAGAUCAACGACACUUCCUACCUGAUCCUGGGACUGUACUAGUGAGUCUCCGCCUUUUAUCUUGGUGACGAUUGCAAUGAUUCAUUGGGUAGUCUUUUUCGCGGAAUUGAUAAUCGACUGACUUCAUAUCAAAGUGCAACUAUGAGUUCAUAGCCUUGCCAGAAAUAUGAAGUCCAUAGAUUAUUUCGGCGAAAUAGACUAUGAAAAGGUGUUACCGUUUCCAAGUUGAAAGACGUCGAGCUCAUUUACAGAUACACCAAGGUCAGGUUCGUGCAAAGGUAGGUAGGUGAUUGAAUUUUCGCUAAUUAAUUAAUCAAUUCAUCCAAACAAUUGUACUGAAAUGAUUAAUUAAUAAACGAACACACUGAAACACGAUAUUAUGAUGGCCCCACUAAUCUCAUUGAUGGUCCACAGCUCUCCGUACUACCGAUCAGGAUUGACCACUACUGCAUUCUACAGUUCCUGUGAAGGACAACCUCCUCCUGCAAUUCCACUUGAACAAUCCCAUGGACACGACCUGGUCACCCGAAUCAUGCCAACUCGUCGAUCACUGCAGAACGUGGCGGUCCCCUAGGCGGUCCCUGUCCAACUCGUUCAAACUUGGGUAGUCGGUGUUAUCGUCUUCCCAAGUGCGAUUUUUGCUGCGAUUGAUAGUACUUUCCAGGCGAGACGGAAUUGAUAAGGCUAACGGAAUCCAGAAGGGCAGCCUUAUAAAGGUAGGAUUUUUCUUUUUUUGUGUAAUGUCCAUGUAGUGGGGGAAAAGUGAAAAGUGAAUAGUGACUCAAAAGAAGAUCAACUAUUUUCAGCUUAUCUUUCAGAAGUAAGUGAGUUUUGACAAUCUUCUACGCCCAUUGAUCUUGGUGACGUAAGAUUGCCUGCAAUGGUACUUCGAAUACUCUCUUUUGCGAUAGUGAUGAGUUCAUUUCUCUUGAAUGAGUAUGGCCAUGAAUUCAUAGCCAUGCCAGUUUUGUGAAGUAAACAGAUUUGCUGUGCAAACGAGACUAUCAAGAACUAAUGCAGCCGUCGUUUCCGUUCUUAAGAUAAAUGUCUUGGGGGAUUGUUAAACCUCAUUAAAGGAAGGUAAGUGAUUUAGUUUUCAGGGCAACGAUGCCCUACUUAUUCUAUUCUAUCUAAAUGAUCUGCUUGCAAAUAUGAAAUGAUUCUUUUCUGAUCUAAACGACUAUUUACCACGAUACUGAUUCGUGCUCUGAGCUGUACAUUUAGUUUCUCUACUACUCAUAAGCGUAAAUUACAAAAGUCCGCGAAUACAAAACCGUCUCGACAAAAGCGCCAUAGUGAUUUAGUGCUGGAGUUUAGUGACUUAGUGACUUAGAGGGAAGUUUGGCACCCUCAAACGGUAAGUGAAUCUUCGGAGGUUCAGUGGGACCACUUGAGCGACCUUCGGUUGCCCAACGCCCCACCUCCAUUUUCUUUAGAAUAACUUUGUUAGUGUCGCAAUUUUUAAUUUCUCUUUUACUCCCUCAUACCUGUACUAUGUGCAUCCUUGCCAAGUGCCGAACCAACUUCCUAUACUUCACCCAUCCUGAAAGUGGACUGCUUGACCAAGACAAGCAGGGGUGGUGGUGGGCCCCUUCCUUCCUUCCUAUCCUUAUUGGACACCAGCAGGAAGACAAAGCAAUCCAUGGAGCAGACCAGAAAGAAGCAAAUGCGGCGAGUCGAUUUCGUUCAAGUAGAAAGCGUGAAAUCGUGACCAUUUCGAACUGGACAGUCGCGACGCGGAAUACUCCAAAAGACUUUGAGAUUGGCAGCAAGGAAACCUUUAGACUGAUAAACAAGGCAGUUGGUCGAGUAGGAACCUUUACCUGAUCCAUCGAUUUGGGGUUUCGCCAUAGAGGAAUCUGCGUCGAGUUGUACUGGGACACUUGCUGGGGAACCUGUGAAAGCAUACGCAAUGAAGAAGUA